ACGACGCUGGCGGCGCGCUUAACACAUGCAAGUGGAGCGACGAACCGGGGCUUGCCCCGGGGCAGAGCCGCGAACGGGUGAGUAACACGUGGGUAACCUGCCUCAAUGAUUGGGACAACCCGGGGAAACUCGGGCUAAUACCAAAUGUGUUCACUCCUUCUAAGGGGAGUGAGGAAAGGAAGCUUCGGCCUCCGCAUUGAGAUGGGCCCGCGGCCCAUUAGCUUGUUGGUGAGGUAACGGCUCACCAAGGCUUCGAUGGGUAGCUGGUCUGAGAGGACGAUCAGCCACACUGGGACUGAGACACGGCCCAGACUCCUACGGGAGGCAGCAGUGGGGAAUCUUGCACAAUGCGCGAAAGCGUGAUGCAGCAACGCCGCGUGGGGAAGACGGCCUUCGGGUUGUAAACCCCUUUCAGUUGGGACGAAGCUUCGUCGGUGAAUAGCCGGUUGGAGUGACGGUACCUUCAGAAGAAGCCCCGGCUAACUACGUG
rnacentral:rRNA from 1 species